rnacentral:rRNA from 1 species
UACGGAGGGUGCAAGCGUUAUCCGGAUUCACUGGGUUUAAAGGGUGCGUAGGAGGGCAGGUAAGUCAGUGGUGAAAUCUCCAAGCUUAACUUGGAACUGCCGUGAUACUAUCUGUCUUGAAUAUUGUGGAGGUGAGCGGAAUAUGUCAUGUAGCGGUGAAAUGACUUAGAUAUGACAUAGAACACCAAUUGCGAAGGCAGCUCACUACACAAUCAUUGACUCUGAGGCACGAAAGCGUGGGGAUCAAACAGG